rnacentral:lncRNA from 1 species
AGGCAAGUUCGGCGGGUGGAGGCCCAAAGGAGCAGAGGUGCUGAGUGUUUCUGACGAUAGGUUUUCUUCUUUUUCACUGCACCUCUUUCCGCUCUUCUGGGAGGUGUGCCCGCAGCAACAGCGGUUCGGUGCGGGUUUGUCAUUGAGCGAUUGCCUUUCAUGCUUGGCUUUUGGGGUCUCUAAAGUUUCCGUUGGAUAUGCUUGAGAUUUCACGGGUACAUAUAUUUCAUUAUUCUUGCAUUAUCCCGGUCUGCUUUCGGAUUGCUAUUGAUGGCUUUUGUGGACAAUGCGGUGGAGGCUCUUCCAUUGGCCAGGUCUUUCUUGUGCUCUUUAAUCCUUUUUUGGAGCAUUCUCGUGGUGACUCUUGCAUGCAUUGUGGGUUGUUGAGUGUCGGUAAAUAGGGUUGGAGUUUUGUAGAUCCCAGCCUUUGGCUGUCACUUCUUCUGUCUUUCUCAUUCCUAAUUUUGUUGAGGGCUGUGAUUGCUUGCAGGUGCGCUAGUCAUUUCUUAGCCUUUUUCAUGAGGUUUUUGAUUGAGCUAAGUUUAAUUAUAGUAUAAGGCACUUAUGCUGCUUUCUUAUAGGACACAGGGUCUGGGGACCAUCUAGAAUCUUCAUGCUUAUGUCUAGGAAGUGAACUUCACUGCCACUCUACUGGACUUUCUCAAGGCUUAGGCCAUAAGCGGGGAGAGCGAAUGCAGCUUUGAACUCGCUAAUUCUAGCAUCAUUCUCCUAUAUGGAAGAAUGACACUAGAAUUGCAAAUUAAAAUUGCUGUAUACCAGAAACUAUCACACCAACCAAUAAUAAUUCCUAGAUGGUCCCCAGACUCAUGUCCCUCUUCAGAAGUGCAUACUUAUACUCUUCACUGAUAAAACUCUUUGCUGAACUUAUACUCUUCAGACCAUCAAGCCUUGCAAAUGGAAAUAAAUUAGAUCUUUGAAAUAGGCCACAUGCAUGAUUAUAAAAAAAGCUUCAUAAAAAGCAUAUGCACAAAAGUUGAACACUCCCUUAAAAAAGAAACUGAUUAUCCAUCUUCCACCAGCAUAAACCACAAUAAUGACUAAACUUUCCUACCUCUGCCAUAUACCACAGCGAAACUUAACUCAAUUAAAAACUUCAUGAAAAAGGCUAAAAAAGACCAGCAUACCUGAGAACAACCAUAGUAUUUAACAAAAUUAGAAAUGACAAAAACAGAAGAAAUGAUAGCCAGCCAUUUAUAAGAUUCCAGCCAUAGUUUAUUGACACACAACACCCCACAUCAUAUAUAGGGCAUAUAUAUUGCCAUAUAUAUAUUUCUUCAAGCAUAUAUAUUGCUUGAAGAAUACUCCAGAAAAGAACUGAAAGCAUAAGAAAGACCUAGCCAACAGAAGAAUUUCCACUGCACUGGCUACAAAAGCUAUCACUAGUAACUUGGAAGUGCACUGGGAUAACAAAGAAUAAUAAUAAAUGUACCUGUAAUUCCCCCAGAAACAUUAGAGAUCUUGAAGGCCAAGCAUAAAGGACAUUUAUUUAAUGAUAAACCCGUAGUUGAACUGUUGUCAUCAUGGGCAUACCUCCUUGAAAAGUGGAAAGAAGUGUGGUCAAUAAGAAAUUCUUCUGUUGUAAACACCUAAGAACCCGAAGGAGUGGAAGGCCUAUUUUGUUGAUCUUUGUAGACAAAGAAUAGCCUUG